rnacentral:misc_RNA from 1 species
GUCGAAUAGCUCUGAUGAUUUGGUUUUUUAAGGUAUUUCAUAGGAAGCAUGAAGCACUUUUGAUCUGCAGAGUACACAAUAAAAUAACCCUUCUCAGCUUUUGCUGUGCAGGAAUUGCUUGUAUCUGUGUUUCCAAUGGUUUGUGGGAAUGCGAUUCUUUUUCGCCUCAUAGCAGCCCGCUUAUUCUGCCAUAUCAUUGCCAAUUUCAGGAGCUUCUUGGGACUGAUCAUCUUGUUGAAAGGCAAAGAUCUAUGGGU